CUUUGAAGGCUUUUAGUUUAAAUUAACCUAAACCCCCACUC
rnacentral:tRNA from 1 species